GACGAACGCUGGCGGCGUGCCUAAUACAUGCAAGUUGAGCGCUGAAGGUUGGUACUUGUACCAACUGGAUGAGCAGCGAACGGGUGAGUAACGCGUGGGGAAUCUGCCUUUGAGCGGGGGACAACAUUUGGAAACGAAUGCUAAUACCGCAUAAAAACUUUAAACACAAGUUUUAAGUUUGAAAGAUGCAAUUGCAUCACUCAAAGAUGAUCCCGCGUUGUAUUAGCUAGUUGGUGAGGUAAAGGCUCACCAAGGCGAUGAUACAUAGCCGACCUGAGAGGGUGAUCGGCCACAUUGGGACUGAGACACGGCCCAAACUCCUACGGGAGGCAGCAGUAGGGAAUCUUCGGCAAUGGACGAAAGUCUGACCGAGCAACGCCGCGUGAGUGAAGAAGGUUUUCGGAUCGUAAAACUCGGUUGGUAGAGAAGAACGUUGGUGAGAGUGGAAAGCUCAUCAAGUGACGGUAACUACCCAGAAAGGGACGGCUAACAACGUG
rnacentral:rRNA from 1 species